ensembl:ncRNA ZK525.5 ncRNA
CACUCCACCCCAUCGAUCACAGUCGUCGAUAAGUUUUGAUUGACGAGUACAUC